UGUUGGUUCAGGAUAUCAUGUGUUCAAACAUGCAAUGUUAUUUUCUCCCCAAUUAAAAUUGAUUUUCACUUGUUGGGUUUGCUUUAUAUUUCAAGUCCACAAGUGGGGGGGAGUGUUGGUGAUAUUAAAUUGAAUUUGUCUUCUCCCAUCAACUUAACCUUUUAGGUCAAUUGACGAUUUAAGACGUAUCAAGCUUGCCUAACCUAGGUUGAAAGGGGCGCGCUAUAGAGUAAGGUUGCUGGGCAGGCGGAAGCUGCGCGAGGUAGCGAAUGCUUAGCUUGAGCCUGAAGUUUGAGUAGUGUGGGAAGCUCCUUUCCGUAUUCCGUCUUCCUACCGGCUAGCAAGACUGAAAAAUAGGUAUAAGCUUCUUUUUGGCAUCUUGUUGCUUCGGAAGGGGAGGUGUUGGAAAAUUAUCUAUACUCCUUCAGUUUCACAAAAUAGUUGUUGAAUGAAAGAGUAGACACAAGCUUCUGAAGCACCCUAUGAUUUCAGGUGGUAAUAUUUGUCGAGCAGUUUCUCGGAGUACUCUCCGAAUGUUAGGGCGCAAUUUGUGGGAAUUAUCUCUUUGUGAAUAUGAACUUCCUCGGGAAAAUUGAGUUUCUGAUCCCAAUCGGGUUGCAUGAACAGUGCAAAUGUGGAGCGUUCAAGAUUAAAAGCUUCCUUCCCAUUAGGUGCCCGAACACAAUGUGGUGUUGCACACAGAUAGCCUCUGGACAGAAUCUCUGUAGUUUCACCAAUUUGAUAUGCUAUUUCAUUUUCUCCAUAAUAAACUUUAACAAUUUCCUCAGCCCUUGUCCUAAUAUAGAGGCCAGCAGCAUUGUCAGGGCUAGGUAUCUCCACACCAUCUCUUGUAAACAUUGCACAUGUCAAACCUGUUAGUGAACCAUGAUCUGUAUGCCAUCCACACCAAGAGGAAAGAUUAUCGCUAUCUUCAGAACAAGUGCUCUGCUGUGCUGGAAAAUAAUAAAGCAAGCGCCCCUUAUGACACCGGGAAUUAAGAAGUAUCUUUUCAAGGCCGUCAUCCUCAUGCACUUUCAUCAUUUUAGCAGCAUACUGGUCGCAAUGAUAUGCUAACAUCAAACCAACAUCAAGAAUCAGCUUUCCCAGAGCUUUAAAGGCUAAUUCAAGUUCUGGCAGUUCUCUAGAAGGCCAAAUAUUUGAACCACAAUAUGAUGGAUACCUUUGAAUUAAAGAUGUGUCUGUUGUUGGGGUAUCCAAUAUUGGAUUGGCAUAGAAUGAGCCCUUCAACAAAUCUGCAAAUUUGAUACACAUAUUAAAAGACAGAUUUCUUUGAAUCUGCAAAGAAACCACCAAUAACCACAAAAUACAAUCUCGCCAAUGUUCUCCUUCGGUUACGAACAUCUUCAUUGCAUGAUUGAGAUGCCAUGUGGAUGAAACAGCAUAAGCAAUGUAGCUCUCAUAUUAAAAGCUUUCCAGAACCACAAUUAUAGUUUAAACAGUGUACAUAUACAAUAAAACUCAUAUACCAGGCUUCCCAGAUUCAAGUUUCUCUUUCCCAUGACUCCAUCCAAAAUUAUACUAUGAGGGUCUUCAAGCUCCUUCUUCACAUCUUCUGGUAGCUUCGCUAAUCUCGAUGAAAGACGUAGAAGAUCCUGCCGCAACGAAGGAAAUCCAGGGACAUCAGUAACUGAUAGAAUCCCCAGCCCCUUAGGUCCAAAUCCUUCUUCAAUCUUCAUCGACAAAUCAACACUCCGAUCUUGGAGCUCUGAAUACGAUAUGGUGACGGUUCUGAUGGCCGGAAAAAGGGACUGAAAGGAGGAAGCCAUUAUUGUAGAGAUGAUCCGGCGAGAAGAUUGGUGAAUUGGAGAACGAUGGAGAAGAAAGAAGAGGCGGGACGAAAGGAAAUUUGGC
rnacentral:misc_RNA from 1 species